UUUGUCCACUAAUUAUGGACCUGUAUGAAGGGCCACAUGAGAAUUUAACUGUCUCUUAUAACUAAUAUAUAAAACUGAUCUUUUAGUCCAAAAGCUAGAAUUACCAUAUAAGACGAGAAGACCCUGUGAAGCUUAAAAAAUCCCAUUAAACCAAUUAGCGGGUAUUUUUAGUUGGGGCAACUUUGGAAAACAACAUAACUUCCAAAUAAAAACAUAUAAUAAAGACCAACAAGUCAAUAAAGACCCAGUAUAACUGAUAAAUGAACCAAGUUACUCCAGGGAUAACAGCGCAAUCUUCUUCAAGAGCCCAUAUCAAAAAGAAGGUUUACGACCUCGAUGUUGGAUCAGGACACCCAAAUGGCGCAGCCGCUAUUAAAGGUUCGUUUGUUCAACGAUUAACAGU
rnacentral:rRNA from 2 species